rnacentral:rRNA from 1 species
CCUACGGGAGGCAGCAGUAGGGAAUUUUGCGCAAUGGGGGAAACCCUGACGCAGCAACGCCGCGUGAUCGAUGAAGCCCUUCGGGGUGUAAAGAUCUGUCAGUGGGGACGAAACCUGACGGUACCCACAGAGGACGCACCGGCUAACUCCGUGCCAGCAGCCGCGGUAAUACGGGGGGUGCAAGCGUUGUCCGGAAUCAUUGGGCGUAAAGAGUUCGUAGGUGGCACGUUAAGUCUGGUGUUAAAGGCGGAAGCUCAACUUCCGUAGGGCUCUGGAAACUGUACGGCUGGAGUGCAGGAGAGGUAAGUGGAAUUCCUAGUGUAGCGGUGAAAUGCGUAGAUAUUAGGAGGAACACCAGUGGCGAAGGCGGCUUACUGGACUGUAACUGACGUUGAGGCUCGAAAGCGUGGGGAGCAAACAGGAUUAGAUACCCGGGUAGUC